rnacentral:tRNA from 1 species
GCCGCCGUGGCGGAAUAGGCAGACGCAAGGGACUUAAAAUCCCUCGGUAGCAAUACCGUGCCGGUUCAAGUCCGGCCAGCGGCACCA